UACGUAGGGUGCGAGCGUUAAUCGGAAUUACUGGGCGUAAAGCGUGCGCAGGCGGUUUUGUAAGCCAGAUGUGAAAUCCCCGGGCUUAACCUGGGAAUGGCAUUUGGGACUGCAAGGCUCGAGUGCGGCAGAGGAGACUGGAAUUCCUGGUGUAGCAGUGAAAUGCGUAGAUAUCAGGAGGAACACCGAUGGCGAAGGUAGGUCUCUGGGCUGACACUGACGCUCAUGCACGAAAGCGUGGGGAGCAAACAGG
rnacentral:rRNA from 1 species